GAUGAACGCUGGCGGCGUGCUUAACACAUGCAAGUCGAACGUGAGAAUAGCAAUAUUUGAAAGUGGCAAACGGGUGAGUAACACGUGGGAACCUGCCUCGAAGUGGGGGAUAACGAUUGGAAACGGUCGCUAAUACCGCACGGUUCUGCUCUGAUGGGAAUGGAGCAGAUAAAGAUUUAUCGCUUUGAGAGGGGCCCGCGGCCGAUUAGCUAGUUGGUAAGGUAAAGGCUUACCAAGGCGAUUAUCGGUAGCUGGUCUGAGAGGACGAUCAGCCACACGGGAACUGAGAAACGGUCCCGACUCCUACGGGGGGCAGCAGUGAGGAAUAUUGGGCAAUGGACGGAAGUCUGACCCAGCAACGCCGCGUGGAGGAUGAAGGUUUUUGGAUUGUAAACUCCUUUUGUGGGGGAAGAGUGAGGACGGUACCCCAAGAAUAAGUCACGGCUAACUACGUG
rnacentral:rRNA from 1 species